AUUGAACGCUGGCGGCAGGCUUAACACAUGCAAGUCGAGCGGAGAUGAGGUGCUUGCACCUUAUCUUAGCGGCGGACGGGUGAGUAAUGCUCAGGAAUCUGCCUAUUAGUGGGGGACAACAUUCCGAAAGGAAUGCUAAUACCGCAUACGCCCUACGGGGGAAAGCAGGGGAUCUUCGGACCUUGCACUAAUAGAUGAGCCUAAGUCAGAUUAGCUAGUGGGUGGGGUAAAGGCCUACCAAGGCGACGAUCUGUAGCGGGUCUGAGAGGAUGAUCAGCCACACUGGGACUGAGACACGGCCCAGACUCCUACGGGAGGCAGCAGUGGGGAAUAUUGGACAAUGGGCGCAAGCCUGAUCCAGCCAUGCCGCGUGUGUGAAGAAGGCCUUUUGGUUGUAAAGCACUUUAAGCGAGGAGGAGGCUACCGAGAUUAAUACUCUUGGAUAGUGGACGUUACUCGCAGAAUAAGCACCGGCUAACUCUGUGCCAGCAGCCGCCGUAACAC
rnacentral:rRNA from 1 species